UAACGCGUGAGCAACCUUUCCCAGACAGGGGAAUAACACACCGAAAGGUGUACUAAUACCGCAUAAGACCACGGGAUCACAUGGUUCUGAGGUAAAAGAUUUAUCGGUUUGGGGUGGGCUCGCGUCCGAUUAGGUAGUUGGUGAGGUAACGGCCCACCAAGCCGACGAUCGGUAGCCGACCUGAGAGGGUGAUCGGCCACAUUGGGACUGAGACACGGCCCAAACUCCUACGGGAGGCAGCAGUGGGGAAUAUUGGGCAAUGGAGGAAACUCUGACCCAGCAACGCCGCGUGGAGGAAGAAGGUUUUCGGAUCGUAAACUCCUGUCCUUGGAGACGAGUAGAAGACGGUAUCCAAGGAGGAAGCCCCGGCUAACUACGUGCCAGCAGCCGCGGUAAUACGUAGGGGGCAAGCGUUGUCCGGAAUAACUGGGCGUAAAGGGCGCGUAGGCGGCUCGGUAAGUCUGGAGUGAAAGUCCUGCUUUUAAGGUGGGAAUUGCUUUGGAUACUGUCGGGCUUGAGUGCAGGAGAGGUUAGUGGAAUUCCCAGUGUAGCGGUGAAAUGCGUAGAGAUUGGGAGGAACACCAGUGGCGAAGGCGACUAACUGGACUGUAACUGACGCUGAGGCGCGAAAGUGUGGGGAGCAAACAGGAUUAGAUACCCUGGUAGUCCACACUGUAAACGAUGAAUGCUAGGUGU
rnacentral:rRNA from 1 species